UCGCCUUCUCUUUGGCCUGCUUUUGACAUCCUCCUCCAUUUUAUCAAGAAACGAAAGAAAUGUCUGAAGAUGCGCAGGUGGUGAGCUUUGUGAUGAAGACCCCUCAAGCUCCUCAGCACAGUGCUUGGCAAAUUUCCUGAUUAUCAUAUAUACAAGCAGGGCUAAAACAAAAGCUAAACCACAAAUGAGAAAUAAGACCCAAAAGCUUUUCAGAUGAAGCCGGUUUGCAUCUUCU
rnacentral:misc_RNA from 1 species